UACGUAGGGAGCGAGCGUUGUCCGGAAUUACUGGGUGUAAAGGGAGCGUAGGCGGCGGAGCAAGUCAGAAGUGAAAGCCCGGGGCUCAACCCCGGGACGGCUUUUGAAACUGCCCUGCUUGAUUUCAGGAGAGGUAAGCGGAAUUCCUAGUGUAGCGGUGAAAUGCUUAGAUAUCACGAAGAACUCCGAUUGCGAAGGCAGCCUGCUAAGCUGCAACUGACAUUGAGGCUCGAAAGUGUGGGUAUCAAACAGG
rnacentral:rRNA from 1 species